ensembl:lncRNA novel transcript
UAGGGAUGGGUUGGGAGAGAAGGGAGUGGAUUUUUUAACACGUCAUACCACACCCUUCUGGGCUUGGUCUUGGGUCCAAGCUGCCCUGGAAUUUGGAGUUCGGGGUCUUGUACUUCCACUCGACACAUCCCUGUGUCUCCAUAGCAACUGUUUACUGACCCCUUCCUCUACUCCCUCUGAGACCCUGGCCAUCCUCCUGGGGUCUUCAGUGGGCAAAGCUUCGGCCCUCUGGCUCGAAGCGUCUCUGUUUCUUGCAUUUCUGCCUGCAUGCUGGGGAGGCCUGGAAACACUCACCCUGGUUCCUCAAUAGAACUGCUGUGACAAUUAGAAUUCUUUUGUCAAACUGUUCUUUAUCUAAAUUCAGAGAGUAAAUUUA